rnacentral:rRNA from 1 species
UACGAAGGGAGCGAGCGUUGUUCGGAAUCACUGGGCUUAAAGCGUGCGUAGGUGGAUUGGUAAGUAAGGAGUGAAAUCCCAGGGCUUAACCCUGGAACUGCUCUUUAGACUGCCUGUCUGGAAUUCGGAAGAGGUUGGUGGAACUCCCAGUGUAGAGGUGAAAUUCGUAGAUAUUCGGAAGAACACCAGUGGCGAAGGCGGCUCACUGGCCCGUUACCGACGCUCAGGCGCGACAGCGUGGGGAGCAAACAGG